rnacentral:rRNA from 1 species
CGCCUGCCCCGUGACAAAAGUUUAACGGCCGCGGUAUUUUGACCGUGCAAAGGUAGCGCAAUCACUUGUCUUUUAAAUGAAGACCUGUAUGAAUGGCAUAACGAGGGCUUAACUGUCUCCUUUUCCCAAUCAAUGAAAUUGAUCUCCCCGUGCAGAAGCGGGGAUAUACACAUAAGACGAGAAGACCCUAUGGAGCUUUAGAUACCAAGACAGAUCUUGUUAAACACCUCAAAAUAACGAAAAAAACUAAAAGAAACCUGCCCUAAUAUCUUUGGUUGGGGCGACCGCGGGGAAACAAACAACCCCCAUGUGGACUGAGAAAACAAAUCUCACAACCAAGAGCCACAGCUCUAGCUAGCAGAACUUCUGACCUUAAGAUCCGGCAAUGCCGAUCAACGGACCAAGUUACCCUAGGGAUAACAGCGCAAUCCUUUUUUAGAGUCCAUAUCGACAAAAGGGUUUACGACCUCGAUGUUGGAUCAGGACAUCCUAAUGGUGCAGCCGCUAUUAAGGGUUCGUUUGUUCAACGAUUAAAGUCCU